GAUUAAACAAUUUUCUAAACCUCCAUUUUUCCACUCGAAAAUGAAAAUUUAAAAAACUGAGAAAAGAAAACAGGAAAAUAGGGGAAAAAAAUGUUUCCCAUAACCAAACAAGGCCGAAAAGUUCCAAAGCAGAUUUCACUGAUCCAGGAAAAACUAACCGCAAUGCAUUUCAAUGUUCAGGUUGACUUGGAUUUCAACAGGACUACUGACCACCCAAAAACUAUCUGUAGUGUAUUAUGUAUCUUCAAUUAUAAUGCAUGAAAAAUUUCCUUAAUUUUAAGUUUUAUCUUGUAAUAUUACCAAAUACAAACAGAAUAA
rnacentral:misc_RNA from 1 species